rnacentral:rRNA from 1 species
GAGUUUGAUCCUGGCUCAGAUUGAACGCUGGCGGCAUGCCUUACACAUGCAAGUCGAACGGCAGCAUGAUCUAGCUUGCUAGAUUGAUGGCGAGUGGCGAACGGGUGAGUAAUACAUCGGAACGUGCCCUGUAGUGGGGAUAACUAGUCGAAAGAAUUAGCUAAUACCGCAUACGACCUGAGGGUGAAAGUGGGGGACCGGCAAGGCCUCAUGCUAUAGGAGCGGCCGAUGUCUGAUUAGCUAGUUGGUGGGGUAAAGGCCCACCAAGGCGACGAUCAGUAGCUGGUCUGAGAGGACGAUCAGCCACACUGGGACUGAGACACGGCCCAGACUCCUACGGGAGGCAGCAGUGGGGAAUUUUGGACAAUGGGCGAAAGCCUGAUCCAGCAAUGCCGCGUGUGUGAAGAAGGCCUCCGGGUUGUAAAGCACUUUUGUUCCGGAAAGAAAUAGGCUCUGGUUAAUACCUGGGGUCGAUGACGGUACCGGAAGAAUAAGGACCGGCGUAACUACGUGAC